rfam:Ictidomys tridecemlineatus contig123883, whole genome shotgun sequence.
GGGGCUGUAGCUCAGUGGCAGAGCACUUGUCUUGCACGUGGGAGGCACUGGGUCUGAUUCUCAGCACCACUU